UACGUAGGGUGCAAGCGUUGUCCGGAAUUAUUGGGCGUAAAGAGCUCGUAGGCGGUUUGUCGCGUCGAAUGUGAAAACCCGGGGCUCAACCCCGGGCCUGCAUUCGAUACGGGCAGACUAGAGUUCGGUAGGGGAGUCUGGAAUUCCUGGUGUAGCGGUGAAAUGCGCAGAUAUCAGGAGGAACACCGGUGGCGGAGGCGGGACUCUGGGCCGAUACUGACGCUGAGGAGCGAAAGCGUGGGGAGCAAACAGG
rnacentral:rRNA from 1 species